rnacentral:rRNA from 1 species
UACAGAGGUCUCAAGCGUUUGUUCGGAUUCAUUGGGCGUAAAGGGUGCGUAGGCGGCGCGGUAAGUCGGAUGUGAAAUCUCGGAGCUUAACUCCGAAACUGCAUUCGAUACUGCCGUGCUUGAGGACUGGAGAGGAGACUGGAAUUUACGGUGAGCGGUGAAAUGCGUAGAUAUCGUAAGGAAGACCAGUGGCGAAGGCGGGUCUCUGGACAGUUCCUGA